UACGUAGGGUGCAAGCGUUGUCCGGAAUUAUUGGGCGUAAAGAGCUCGUAGGCGGUUUGUCGCGUCUGCUGUGAAAACCCGAGGCUCAAACCUCGGGCCUGCAGUGGGUACGGGCAGACUAGAGUGCGGUAGGGGAGAUUGGAAUUCCUGGUGUAGCGGUGGAAUGCGCAGAUAUCAGGAGGAACACCGAUGGCGAAGGCAGAUCUCUGGGCCGUAACUGACGCUGAGGAGCGAAAGCAUGGGGAGCGAACAGG
rnacentral:rRNA from 1 species